AACGCACCUUGCGCUCUAUGGUAUUCCGUAGAGCAUGCCUGUUUGAGUGCCGUGAAUUCUCCCAUCCCAAGCGGUUUUUAUCAAAGAAUUGCUAGGCGAAGGGGUUGAGAUGGGCGUUGUUAUAACUGCUUUUCUUCUCUAGAAAAGCUCGCCCGAAAAACAGCUAACGCCUCUGGGCCACUUUGCAUCCGCUUCUCUGAGGGGAGAAGCGGCCAAGCGCGCUCUGAUCAUCAGGCAUAGCAUGAUACGUCAUUUGCUAUGCUGUAGGAGAGCAUUUGGUUGUGGUUAUACCGCGUGCGUUAUUUUUUUUUUGCAAACGCAAAGAAAAAAAAGCCCCCUUUCAUUUCUGGUCUCAAAUCAGGUAGGAUCACCCGCUGAACUUAA
rnacentral:misc_RNA from 1 species